UACAGAGGUCUCAAGCGUUGUUCGGAUUCAUUGGGCGUAAAGGGUGCGUAGGCGGCGCGGUAAGUCGGGUGUGAAAUCUUGGAGCUUAACUCCGAAACUGCAUUCGAUACUGCCGUGCUUGAGGACUGGAGAGGAGAGUGGAAUUCCCGGUGUAGCGGUGAAAUGCGUUGAUAUCCUAAGGAACACCAGUGGCGAAGGCGGGUCUCUGGACAGUACCUGACGGCUGAGGAAGCGAAAGGCGUGGGGAGCGAACAGG
rnacentral:rRNA from 1 species